AACGCUGGCGGUCUGCUUAACACAUGCAAGUCGAACGCAACCUUCGGGUUGAGUGGCGGACGGGUGAGUAACGCGUGAGAAUCUGCCUUGGGGUCGGGGACAACCACUGGAAACGGUGGCUAAUACCGGAUAAGCCUUUGGGUAAAAGAUUUAUUGCCCCAAGAGGAGCUCGCGUCUGAUUAGCUAGUUGGUGAGGUAAAAGCUCACCAAGGCAGCGAUCAGUAGCUGGUCUGAGAGGACGAUCAGCCACACUGGGACUGAGACACGGCCCAGACUCCUACGGGAGGCAGCAGUGGGGAAUUUUCCGCAAUGGGCGAAAGCCUGACGGAGCAAGACCGCGUGAGGGAGGAAGGCUCUUGGGUUGUAAACCUCUUUUCUCAGGGAAGAAGCUCUGACGGUACCUGAGGAAUCAGCCUCGGCUAACUCCGUGCCAGCAGCCGCGGUAAUACGGAGGAGGCAAGCGUUAUCCGGAAUUAUUGGGCGUAAAGCGUCCGCAGGUGGCGAUUCAAGUCUGCUGUCAAAGCACGGGGCUUAACUCCGUUAAGGCAGUGGAAACUGAAUAGCUAGAGUGCCGUAGGGGUAGAGGGAAUUCCCGGUGUAGCGGUGAAAUGCGUAGAGAUCGGGAAGAACAUCGGUGGCGAAAGCGCUCUACUGGACGGCAACUGACACUUCAGGGACGAAAGCUAAGGGGAGCGAAUGGGAUUAGAUACCCCAGUAGUCCUAGCUGUAAACGAUGGAUACUAGGUGUAGCUGGUAUCGACCCGAGCUGUGCCCGAAGCUAACGC
rnacentral:rRNA from 1 species